GUUUUAGUAAUUUAAUAAAAAUACUGGUCUUGUAAACCAGAAAUAGGUUGAACCUCUAAAACU
rnacentral:tRNA from 1 species